rnacentral:rRNA from 1 species
AGUGAACGCUGGCGGUAGGCCUAACACAAGCAAGUCGAACGGCAGCACAGUAAGAGCUUGCUCUUACGGGUGGCGAGUGGCGGACGGGUGAGGAAUACAUCGGAAUCUACUUUUUCGUGGGGGAUAACGUAGGGAAACUUACGCUAAUACCGCAUACGACCUACGGGUGAAAGCAGGGGAUCUUCGGACCUUGCGCGAUUGAAUGAGCCGAUGUCGGAUUAGCUAGUUGGCGGGGUAAAGGCCCACCAAGGCGACGAUCCGUAGCUGGUCUGAGAGGAUGAUCAGCCACACUGGAACUGAGACACGGUCCAGACUCCUACGGGAGGCAGCAGUGGGGAAUAUUGGACAAUGGACGCAAGCCUGAUCCAGCCAUACCGCGUGGGUGAAGAAGGCCUUCGGGUUGUAAAGCCCUUUUGUUGGGAAAGAAAAGCAGCAGGUUAAUACCCCGCUGUUCUGACGGUACCCAAAGAAUAAGCACCGGCUAACUUCGUG